GGGCCCGCACAAGCAGCGGAGCGUGUGGUUUAAUUCGAGGCUACACGAAGAACCUUACCUGGGUUUGACAUGCUAGUGGUAGUGACGCGAAAGCCGAACGACCCUUCGGGGAGCUAGCACAGGUGCUGCAUGGUUGUCGUCAGCUCGUGCCGUGAGGUGUUAGGUUAAGUCCUGCAACGAGCGCAACCCUUGUCGCUAGUUGUACUUUUCUAGCGAGACCGCCGGGGUAACUCGGAGGAAGGUGGGGAUGACGUCAAAUCAGCAUGGCCUUUAUAUCCAGGGCUACACACACGCUACAAUGGCCGGUACAAUGGGUUGCCAAGCCGCGAGGCGGAGCCAAUCCUAAAAAGCCGGUCUCAGUUCGGAUUGGAGGCUGCAACCCGCCUCCAUGAAGCUGGAGUUGCUAGUAACCGCAGGUCAGCUAUACUGCGGUGAAUACGUUCCCGGGCCUU
rnacentral:rRNA from 1 species